AUUGAACGCUGGCGGCAUGCCUUACACAUGCAAGUCGAACGGUAACGGGCCUUCGGGUGCCGACGAGUGGCGAACGGGUGAGUAAUGUAUCGGAACGUACCUUUCAGUGGGGGAUAACGUAGCGAAAGUUACGCUAAUACCGCAUAUUCUGCGAGCAGGAAAGCAGGGGAUCGCAAGACCUUGCGCUGAUUGAGCGGCCGAUAUCAGAUUAGCUAGUUGGUGAGGUAAAGGCUCACCAAGGCGACGAUCUGUAGCGGGUCUGAGAGGAUGAUCCGCCACACUGGAACUGAGACACGGUCCAGACACCUACGGGAGGCAGCAGUGGGGAAUUUUGGACAAUGGGGGCAACCCUGAUCCAGCCAUGCCGGGUGAGUGAAGAAGGCCUUCGGGUUGUAAAGCUCUUUCGGCCGGGAAGAAAUCGUAUCAGCUAAUACCUGGUGCGGAUGACGGUGCCGGCAUAAGAAGCACCGGCUAACUACGUGCCAGCCGCCGCAGUAAUAC
rnacentral:rRNA from 1 species